UCCUACGGGAGGCAGCAGUGGGGAAUAUUGGACAAUGGGGGCAACCCUGAUCCAGCAAUGCCGCGUGGGUGAAGAAGGUUUUCGGAUUGUAAAGCCCUUUUGGCGGGGACGAUGAUGACGGUGCCCGCAGAAUAAGCUCCGGCUAACUUCGUGCCAGCAGCCGCGGUAAUACGAAGGGGGCUAGCGUUGCUCGGAAUGACUGGGCGUAAAGGGCGCGUAGGCGGCUUAUACAGUCAGGCGUGAAAUUCCUGGGCUCAACCUGGGGACUGCGUCUGAUACGUAUAGGCUUGAGUAUGGAAGAGGGUCGUGGAAUUUCCAGUGUAGAGGUGAAAUUCGUAGAUAUUGGAAAGAACACCGGUGGCGAAGGCGGCGACCUGGUCCAUUACUGACGCUGAGGCGCGAAAGCGUGGGGAGCAAACAGGAUUAGAUACCCUGGUAGUCCACGCUGUAAACGAUGUGUGCUGGAUGUUGGGGUGCUUAGCACUUCAGUGUCGUAGCUAACGCGGUAAGCACACCGCCUGGGGAGU
rnacentral:rRNA from 1 species